rnacentral:rRNA from 1 species
AGCGAACGCUAGCGGAUGGCUUAACACAUGCAAGUCGCACGGGCAGCAAUGUCAGUGGCGGACGGGUGAGUAACACGUAGGUAAUCUACCUUCUGGUGGGGGACAACCCGACGAAAGUCGGGCUAAUACCGCAUCUGGCCUAAGGGUCAAAGCAGCAAUGUGCCAGUUGAUGAGCCUGCGUCCCAUUAUUUAAUCCUAGUUGGCGGGGUAAUGGCCCACCAAGGGUACGAUGGGUAGCUGGUCUGAGAGGACGAUCAGCCACACUGGAACUGAGACACGGUCCAGACUCCUACGGGAGGCAGCAGUGGGGAAUAUUGCGCAAUGGGCGAAAGCCUGACGCAGCCAAUCCGCGUGGGUGAUGAAGGCCUUCGGGUUGUAAAGCCCUGUCGUGAGGGACGAAGUACUGACGGUACCUCACAAGAAAGCACCGGCUAACCCCGUGCCAGCCGCCGCAGUAAAAC